rnacentral:rRNA from 1 species
UACAGAGGUGGCAAGCGUUGUUCGGAAUUACUGGGCGUAAAGGGCGAGUAGGUGGCCAUCUAAGUCAGACGUGAAAUCCCCCGGCUUAACCUGGGAACUGCGUCUGAUACUGGACGGCUAGAGUUUGGGAGAGGGAUGCAGAAUUCCAGGUGUAGCGGUGAAAUGCGUAGAUAUCUGGAGGAAUACCGGUGGCGAAGGCGGCAUCCUGGACCAACACUGACACUGAAUCGCGAAAGCUAGGGGAGCAAACGGG